GGUCUCUUGGUGCAAUGGUAGCACGCUCUGAUCCCUGUGGCAUAGUAAUCUAAGUUCGAGUCCUGGAGAGAUCA